CCGGUCACAAUCCACAGCAGAUCUAAGAGAGCACACAUAAUAAGAAGAAUAGGUUUGGAAUCAUUUCAUACACUCUCCCAAUGAUGCAACGUUUCUGAAUCCUAUUAGUAAACGAGACAGGUCUCCCGCCAGAAUACAAAGACAAAUGAAAAACAAGUAAUAGGCAUAUCCCUCCGUUGGCUGCUUCUCAAAAGAAAACCGGCCCCUCUCCCAGAGACACACCACGCCAAACUUCAUCUCCGCUCAUGGUUAGAAGAAAAAGAGGGAGGAAGAGACUCACCUUCUAUCAACGGAACUUUCGGUGAGGCUGUCAACGUGCUGAACCACUGCCUGGCUGCGACAAUGGACUGGAUGAGGGCUAAUAAACUGAGGCUCAAUCCAGACAAGGCUGAGAUGCUGCUAGUGAGUGCUUCUUCUGACCGGAUGGUGGAUGCACUCCCCCUGAAGUAGCAGAUACUGCAAAAUUGGCAAAUGAACUGAGAAACAGAGUGACUGGAAUCUUGCCCUAACCAAAGCAAUAAUAAUGAACAUAUGAAAUAAAAAUUGCCAUCGCUAAUUGUACCGUUGUUGGAACAUAGUGCAGAGUGCAGGAAAGUAACUCUCCAACUUCUCUUAAUGGAGGAUGGAUGUGGGAUUUCUUGGUAGCAAGCAAAAUAAAAAUGUGGUUCGACUGUACACAUUAAAAAAUAUCACUCCAUCAGGAAAAGGAAUUUGAACGCUGAGUGACUGAUGAACAAGGUGUAGCCUUUUUUGUUUGUUUUGCAAAAAACAAAGACAAAAAAUAUUCCCAAAUGCAUUACCUCACCUAUCAAAAUUGAUCAGACUGACAAGUGCUUAAGUUUAGUUGGACCAUGUGUCAUAUUUUUCUGAAGAUAAGAACAUAAGAAGAAAUUGCUGAAUCAGGCCACAGACCUAUCUAGUGCAUUACAGGCCCAUCUAGCCUUUAAAAGUAAUCCAUGUUGGUGGCCACCAUUAUAUCCUGUGGCAGUGAAUUCCACAGUUAAACAAUGUGCUGUGUGAAGUUCUUUGUCUGUCCUGAAUCUUCCAUUAUUCAGCUUUGUUAGGUAAGCCAGGGUACUGCAUUGAGAGAGAGAGAGUCUCUCUAUCCACUUUCUCCACACCAUGCAUAAUUGCAUACACCUCUGUCGUGUUCCCCCUUACCUUGUUUUCCAAACUAAAAAGCCCCAAAUGUUAUAACCCUAUUCUCAUAAGGAAAUUGCUCCAGCCCCUUGAUCAUUUGGUUGCCCUUUUCUGAACUUUUUCCAGCCCUACAAUUUCCUUUAUGAGACAUGGCAACCAGAACCAAACACAGUAUUCUAAACGUGGUCACACCAUAGAUUUGUAAAAUAACAUAAUGAUAUUGGUAUUUUUAUUAGUUAUUAGAGAUCUAAUGAUUCCUAAUAUGGAAUUAAUCUUUAUCAUAGUUGCAACACAGAGUGUCAAUGUUUAUUGAGUUAUCCAUCACAAUUGCAAGAUCUCUUUCCUAGGCAGUCCCCACCAGUUCAGACCCUAUUAGUGUUUAUGUGAAGUUAGGAUUUUCUGCCCCCCAUAAACAUCACUUUACACUUGCCUACAUCGAAUUGCACUUGCCAUUUUAAUGACCACUCACUCAGUUUGGAGAAAAUGUUUUUGGAAAUCCUUGAAAUUGCUUUUUGCUUUUACCAUGUUCAGAUGGAAUUUUAGACUGAAUAAUGUGUUUAUGCUGAUGUGUUCUAGUAAAAAUAUGCUAGAUUUGUUCAGAUUUAGCACUAUAACAACUUCCAACCAAUAUAUUUUAAGGGAGGGUUUUCAGUGUGUUAUCAACCAAUUUGAAUGGAACAGGCACCUGCAGGGAAUUUUAUGUUAAAAAAAUGUUUCCAUUCAGAUUUUAAUUCAGCACCACCUUUGUUCUUCCCACACUUUGACAGGGGAGCAGACAAUUUGCUGAGCUUGUUAUUGCUUUAGCAUGAGGAGGAAUUUUUGUUGUCCCACUGAUGAGUCAUGCAGGAUGUAGCAGAUGGUAUAAAAAGUGAAGCCACACAGAUAUGAAAAUACUAAUGAGGUUGAGGCAGAAGAUGGGUGUAAUGAGGCUGAGUGAGUGAAAGCCAAUAGAAAUGAUGUAGGUCAGUGGAAAGAGGAAAUCCAGCAGUACAGCAUGGCUGGACUUGCACCGGCAAGAUCAGAAAAAUAAGAAACACAGUGAAUGGUGGAGAGAGGGAAGGAGGGAGAAAAAAAAAUCAUUUAGUAUAAGUGUAAUCGGAAGAACUUGUGGGGCAAGACACUAGUAAAACCAAAGGGCAAUUUUUAGUUUGUGGAGCUAGAAAAUCCUUGAGGACCUGAGGUGCUUGCAGGCUAAGAAAUUAUAUUGCAAAUAAAAUACAAUAAAAUAAUACUGUUCCUUAAAUCUAUAUCUUUCCAAUAGUAUAUAUGGAUUUAUUGCAUCUUGCAUUCUGUCAUUCCAAUAAGCAAUAAACAUAAGAACAUAAGAACAUAAGAAGAGCCUGCUGGAUCAGGCCAGUGGCCCAUCUAGUCCAGCAUCCUGUUCUCAUUUCAAUUAAUCUGUUAUCUCGUUGCCUACUUCUCUGAUACUGGUUUUAAGUAAGCAUCGUACACUGAAUU